rnacentral:lncRNA from 1 species
AUGUCCUUAAAAGCCAGGUCUCAGUCGGACCUGCAGCAGACCGGGUCCUCGCUGGACGACGGCCUGAGCCGGUCCUUCUCCACCAGCAGCAGCAACCUCCACAAAGCAGGAGCGGACGAGGUCAAAGGUCAGUCCAGGAGCAUCAGGAGGCCGGUGAGGGCGGUGAGGCCGCUCAGCGCCGCCAGCGCCAGCGGCUCCUUCCUGCAGAUCAACCACCUGCAGGGAGAGCUGGUCCGAAAGAGGAAGGAAUGCGAAGAUCUGAGGAAGGAAAACAAGCACUUAUCAAAUGAGAUCCACAUGGAGAGGAUCACGAUGCGCACGGAGAACGAGCUCAUCAUGAGGAACCUCCGAAACCUGAACCAGGAGCUGCAGGCCCAAAUCAAAGAGCUCAAGCAGAAGCUCUAUCAGAGCCAGCAGAGGGCGGCGCUGUGCUCCCGGGCUGCAGGUGAAGCCGAGGAGUCCAGGAACGAGGCGGAGAAGAGCCGGGUGCUGACGGAGGCGCGGGCCCUCGCGUGUCAGAGGGACAGGGAGGCGUCUGAGGCCGACAGACGGCACCUGAGCGAGGAGCUGCAGCGGCUCAAAGACCA